GGACGAACGCUGGCGGCGUGCUUAACACAUGCAAGUCGAGCGGUAAGGCCCUUCGGGGUACACGAGCGGCGAACGGGUGAGUAACACGUGGGUAAUCUGCCCAUCACUUCGGGAUAACUCCGGGAAACCGGUGCUAAUACCGAAUAUGACCACUUCAGGCAUCUGAUGGUGGUGGAAAGUUCCGGCGGUGAUGGAUGAGCUCGCGGCCUAUCAGCUUGUUGGUGGGGUAGUGGCCUACCAAGGCUUCGACGGGUAGCCGGCCUGAGAGGGUGACCGGCCACACUGGGACUGAGACACGGCCCAGACUCCUACGGGAGGCAGCAGUGGGGAAUAUUGGACAAUGGGCGAAAGCCUGAUCCAGCAACGCCGCGUGAGGGAUGACGGCCUUCGGGUUGUAAACCUCUUUCAGCAGGGACGAAGCGCAAGUGACGGUACCUGCAGAAGAAGCACCGGCCAACUACGUG
rnacentral:rRNA from 1 species